UUCCCAAUAACGUUGCAUUUAUUGGAGAAAUUGGCCUUGGCGGUGAGCUACGCACGGUACCUAGAAUGGAGAAAAGAGUAAAUACAGUGGCCAAACUGGGAUACAAAAUGUGUAUUGUUCCCAAAUCAGCUGAAAAAUAUCUAUCAACUGUAGGUUUUGAGGGGCUAAAAGUCAUCGGCUGUUCUAAUCUGAGACAAGUCAUUGACACUGUUUUCACGAGACAAAAUUGAAGUUGGGAGUAUUUUGCAAGAUGGACAGGGAACAG
rnacentral:misc_RNA from 1 species